AGAGUUUGAUCCUGGCUCAGGAUGAACGCUAGCGGCAGGCCUAAUACAUGCAAGUCGAACGGGAUCGAAGAGCUUGCUUUUCAUGAGAGUGGCGCACGGGUGCGUAACACGUAUGUAACCUACCUUAAUCUGGGGGAUAGCCUCUCGAAAGAGAGAUUAACACCGCAUAACAUUAUCGGACAGCAUUUUCUGAUAAUCAAAUAUUUAUAGGAUUAAGAUGGGCAUGCGGAACAUUAGCUAGUUGGUAAGGUAAUGGCUUACCAAGGCUACGAUGUUUAGGGGAUCUGAGAGGAUGACCCCCCACACUGGUACUGAGACACGGACCAGACUCCUACGGGAGGCAGCAGUAAGGAAUAUUGGUCAAUGGGCGCAAGCCUGAACCAGCCAUGCCGCGUGCAGGAAGACGGCCCUACGGGUUGUAAACUGCUUUUGUACCGGAAUAAACCUUUUCACGUGUGAGAAGCUGAAUGUACGGUAAGAAUAAGGAUCGGCUAACUCCGUGCCAGCAGCCGCGGUAAUACGGAGGAUUCAAGCGUUAUCCGGAUUUAUUGGGUUUAAAGGGUGCGUAGGCGGUUCUUUAAGUCAGGGGUGAAAGACGGUAGCUUAACUAUCGCAGUGCCUUUGAUACUGAAGAACUUGAAUACACUUGAGGUAGGCGGAAUGUGACAAGUAGCGGUGAAAUGCAUAGAUAUGUCACAGAACACCAAUUGCGAAGGCAGCUUACUAAAGUGUCAUUGACGCUGAGGCACGAAAGCGUGGGGAUCAAACAGGAUUAGAUACCCUGGUAGUCC
rnacentral:rRNA from 1 species